AACGCACGAGACCUGCGGACCUGCGGAGGGAUCAUUAAAGAGAUAGGGUCUACACGGGCCCGACCUCCAACCCUUUGUCUACCAAACCUCAUGUUGCUUCGGCGGGUCCGUCCUAUGGACCGCCGGAGGGCAAAAGCCCUCUGGUCAGUACCCGCCGGUGGCCAACCAAUCAAAACCCUUAAUUGAAUCGUGUCUGAAUUUACUAAAAGUAAAUAAAAAACUUUUAGCAACGGAUCUCUA
rnacentral:misc_RNA from 1 species